AUCAAGCUUUUUCAUAUAAAUUAUGAUAAUUAAAGGGACUAAUUUACUAGAGUUACUUACGAGGGGGUAUUAAAGUACUGCUGGUGUAGAGAUGAAAUUCUGUCAUACCUCUUUUCGAAAGAAAAAUCAUGGCACAGGUAUAGGCGAAGGCAUCCCCUUAUGUGAUAACUGACGUUGAGGGACGAAGGCUUUGUGUAACAAACAGGAUUAGAUACCCUAGUAGUUGAAGCAGAAAAUGAUGAAUGUCAUAGAUUAGAUAUAUAAGUUUAUUCUAUAAAUGAAAGUGUAAGCAUUCCACCUCAUGAGUAAUUUGGCAACAUUGGAAUUGAAAUCAUUAGACCGUUUCUGAAACCAGUAGUGAAGUAUGUUGUUUAAUUUGAUAGUCCGCAAAAAACCUUACCACAAUUUGAAUAUUUAUAUUUUUUUUUAUUG
rnacentral:rRNA from 1 species